UACGAAGGGGGCUAGCGUUGUUCGGAAUUACUGGGCGUAAAGCGCACGUAGGCGGAAUGUUAAGUCAGGGGUGAAAUCCCGGGGCUCAACCCCCGGAACUGCCUUUGAAUACUGGCAUUCUCGAGUCCGGAAGAGGUGAGUGGAAUUCCGAGUGUAGAGGUGAAAUUCGUAGAUAUUCGGAGGAACACCAGUGGCGAAGGCGGCUCACUGGUCCGGUACUGACGCUGAGGCGCGAAAGCUAGGGGAGCAAACGGGG
rnacentral:rRNA from 1 species